CGUACCCUACGGGGGGCAGCAGUGGGGAAUAUUGCACAAUGGGGGAAACCCUGAUGCAGCGACGCCGCGUGAGUGAAGAAGUAUUUCGGUAUGUAAAGCUCUAUCAGCAGGGAAGAAGAAGGACGGUACCUGAGUAAGAAGCCCCGGCUAACUACGUGCCAGCAGCCGCGGUAAUACGUAGGGGGCAAGCGUUAUCCGGAUUUACUGGGUGUAAAGGGAGCGUAGACGGCAGCGCAAGUCU
rnacentral:rRNA from 1 species